rnacentral:rRNA from 1 species
AACACGUAGUCCAAACAUGCCCAGGGGACUUGGAGUAACCUCGGGAAACUUGAGGUAUAAUAUCCGCGAUAGGUCACGACUUCUGGAAUGUGGUAGAUGACCCAAACCUAGUAUGGCCCCUGGAUUUGGACUGCGGCCGAUCAGCCUGUUGUGAGGUAAUGGCCCAACCGAAACCUGUAACCGGUACGGCUCUGUAGAGGUAGGAGCCCGGAGAUGGGCACUGAGACAAGGGCCCAGGCCCUAUGGGCCAGCAGGCGCGAAACCUCUGCAAUAGGCGAAAGCUUGACAGGGUUACUCUGAGUGAUUUCCGUUAAGGAGAUCUGUUUGGCAGCUCUAUAAAAUGGUGCAGAAUAAGGGGUGGGCAAUUCU